GGAGGGAGAGGGCAGGAAGGAGGCAGAGCUGUCCGUGGGAGGUGGAGGCCGAGGACAUUUUCCUGAAGGGCAGGGGUUGGCAACUUUUCAACAUGGAGUGCCAAACUGCUAACCUGUCUUCUAGUGUGUGAGAAUAGGGACCAAGGUGGUGGCGUGACCUUAACUCUCAGAAGCAGAGGAGGCAGGUGGGUGGAGGGGGAUGCUGGGAGUUCACCUGCCUCUUGCUUUUUGUGGGUGGCUGCUGCCACCACCGCCGCUGCUAUAUAGUUUAGGUUUCUGAGGGUCUGCAAGUGCAGACAGCAGCUGGGGCCAAAGAGGUGUUAGGUUCAAAGGCUGCGAAGCGAAUAGGCUACUGGAAAACCAAACCCAACAGAAUUCACGUCCAAAAAUCCACGUUCUCCAUCGCUUCUCAGCCUUUUGGCUAAGAUUAAGUAUUAAAAAAAAAACCAGGCUCUGCCAGGCGCAGUGGCUCAUGCCUAUAAUCCCGGCACUUUGGGAGUCUGUGGCAGGAGGAUUGCUUGAGGCCAGGAGUUUGAGACCAGCCUGGGCAACAUAGAGAGACCCCAUCUCUACAAAAGAUUAAAAAUUAGCUGCGUGUAGUAGCAUAUGCCUUUCAACGUAGCUACUCAGGAGGCUGAGGUGGGAGGAUCCCUUGAGCCGAGGAGUUUGAGUCUGCAGUGAGCUAUGAUCGCACCACUGCAUUCCGGACCCCAUCUCGAAAAAAAAAAAAAAAAAAAA
rnacentral:sRNA from 1 species